UUCGGACAAUAUACAAGGUGCUGCAUGGUUGUCGUCAGCUCGUGCCGUGAGGUGUCGGGUUAAGUCCCAUAACGAGCGCAACCCCUAUCAUUAGUUGCCAUCAGGUCAAGCUGGGGACUCUAAAGGAACUGCCUACGCAAGUAGUGAGGAAGGCGGGGAUGACGUCAAAUCAGCACGGCCCUUACGUCCAGGGCUACACACGUGCUACAAUGGCCGAUACAGAGGGCAGCUACCUGGUGACAGGAUGCAAAUCUCCAAAGUCGGUCUCAGUUCGGAUCGGAGUCUGCAACCCGACUCCGUGAAGUUGGAUUCGCUAGUAAUCGCGCAUCAGCCAUGGCGCGGUGAAUACGUUCCCGGGCCUU
rnacentral:rRNA from 1 species